rnacentral:rRNA from 1 species
UCCAGACUCCUACGGGAGGCAGCAGUGAGGAAUAUUGGUCAAUGGCCGAGAGGCUGAACCAGCCAAGUCGCGUGAGGGAAGACGGCCCUACGGGUUGUAAACCUCUUUUGUCAGGGAGCAACGCCGGCUACGUGUAGCCGGACUGAGAGUACCUGAAGAAAAAGCAUCGGCUAACUCCGUGCCAGCAGCCGCGGUAAUACGGAGGAUGCGAGCGUUAUCCGGAUUUAUUGGGUUUAAAGGGUGCGUAGGCGGAAUGCCAAGUCAGCGGUAAAAAUUCGGGGCUCAACCCCGUCGUGCCGUUGAAACUGAUGUUCUUGAGUGGGCGAGAAGUAUGCGGAAUGCGUGGUGUAGCGGUGAAAUGCAUAGAUAUCACGCAGAACUCCGAUUGCGAAGGCAGCAUACCGGCGCCCAACUGACGCUGAAGCACGAAAGCGUGGGUAUCGAACAGGAUUAGAUACCCGCGUA